UACGUAUGGACCGAGCGUUGUCCGGAAUCAUUGGGCGUAAAGGGUACGUAGGUGGUUAGAAAAGUUAGAAGUGAAAGGCUAUAGCUCAACUAUAGUAAGCUUUUAAAACUGGAUAACUUGAGAGAUGGAAGGGAAAGUGGAAUUCCCAGUGUAGCGGUGAAAUGCAUAGAUAUUAGGAGGAAUACCAGUGGCGAAGGCGACUUGCUGGAAUCUAACUGACACUGAGGUACGAAAGCGUGGGGAGCAAACAGG
rnacentral:rRNA from 1 species